rnacentral:rRNA from 1 species
UACGUAGGGUGCGAGCGUUGUCCGGAAUUAUUGGGCGUAAAGAGCUUGUAGGCGGUUUGUCGCGUCUGCCGUGAAAAUUCGAGGCUCAACCUCGAACUUGCGGUGGGUACGGGCAGACUAGAGUGUGGUAGGGGAGACUGGAAUUCCUGGUGUAGCGGUGAAAUGCGCAGAUAUCAAGAGGAACACCUGAGGUGAAGACGGGGUUGCUGGGCUGACACUGACGCUGAGGCGCGAAAGCUAGGGGAGCAAACGGGG